AGAAGCUUAAGCGAUAACAUCUCUUCUAACGAAGCCGCUCGUUUAUAUCCUGGAACGUGACUCGAGAGAUGCAAGGACGUUUUCCUUCUGAAAAAGCAUCCCUAUAAAAGCAACUCGGCCUGAGUACAGACUACCGCAAUUCUGCCGUUUAGUCUUGGGACUCAGUUGCAAGCGCCCACAACGCCACAAUGAAGACAACGGUGCUCAUACUAGCCGUCCUUCUUCUCUCAGCAGUGAUACUGACGGAAGCUCAGCGUAAUACCGGAAAGCAAGCCUCGGGGGGCCGACGGGGAGGAGGACGCCAGCCAUCAAAUUCAAAGAAAUGUGGCUCUUACGUCUGUACUGCAAGGCAGCGCUGUGAGAGACAACUAGUACCGGAACCUACAUGUGCCAACUUAUGAGCUUACCGGAAAGAAAAGCACCCUGGAUGAACGUCAACCAAGUCAACAAGCUGAUUCGGGUUCCUGACACUCCAGUAGGACGUGGAGGACGGUCAGCCUCUCCCCGCAUCUACCACAGGUUGGAGGCUCGUUUCCCGUAUCUGUUGUCCACGCA